rnacentral:rRNA from 1 species
AUACGGAGGGUGCAAGCGUUAAUCGGAAUUACUGGGCGUAAAGCGUACGUAGGCGGUCCGUUAAGUUAGAUGUGAAAUCCCCGGGCUUAACCUGGGAACUGCAUUUAAAACUGGCGAACUAGAGUUGAGUAGAGGGGAGUGGAAUUUCAGGUGUAGCGGUGAAAUGCGUAGAGAUCUGAAGGAACACCAGUGGCGAAGGCGACUCCCUGGACUCGAACUGACGCUGAGGUACGAAAGCGUGGGUAGCAAACGGGAUUAGAAACCCUAGUAGUCC